rnacentral:sRNA from 1 species
UACGCGCAUGGAUGACGGUGACGUUUUG